rnacentral:lncRNA from 1 species
UUUUUAAGAUUAUCGUCUAUUUGGUAAUUCCAAUCCUUUUUAAUUUUAUUUUUGCUUUUUUUAAACUUAAUUAUCAAGAGGUGUGUAAAAUCUAAGUUAAAAGCAAUAGUUUGUUCAUUACUUAUUGAGGUUUAAAUCUGCCAUGGGAUUUACUUGGAUUUAGUUAGGAUUUAGUUAGGAUUUAAGAUUUGAUUAGAAUUAGAAUUUAUUUAGGAUUUGAUUAAGAUUUGAUUAAAAUUUGACUAAAGUUUGAUUAAGGCUUAUUUAGGAUUUGAUUGGGAUUUAGUUAAGAUUAGGAUUUGAUUAGGCUUUUAGAUUUUAGUUUGGUUUAGGAUUUGGUUCUGAUUUCUUUAGGAUUUUUUUAGGUUUCUUUAGGUUUUUUUUAUAUAUUUUUUAUAAUUAUUUCAAAAAUAAAAAAAUAAAAAAAUAAAAAAAUAAAAAAAUAAUAAUUAGACUUAAUUAAUGCUUGAUUAUGAUUGUUAAGCUUCUAUAACAAUUUGGAUACGAUUUUAUUAGAGUGGUUAGGACUUGUUGUUGUAAAUUCCUUUUAUCUUCCACAGUCAAGUGGCUAGCGCAUUCUCAAGUAAGAUUUUAUGUAAUACGAUAUAAGUGGUGAAUUUGACAUGAAAGCUUGAGGUGGUAGGUAUUGGAGUUUGUUUAUUCUUAUUUUUAUUUUACAGAGGACAAAGAUAAGAAUUUUGAAGGAGCUUCUAGUGGAGCUUCUAGUAGAGUUUCUUCUAAAGAACAAGGUAUGUACAUGGAUCUAUCCAUUACUAGUAUGUUUUAAGCCUUUUCAUUAUCUAUGUAACAACAACAAUGUACUGAUUGCAAAGAAGCUUUGGCAACCAAACCAUUGCAAAGAGUGGUCAAUAAAAUUGAUCAAUUUGAUGGGAAGGAUAUUUCAAAGUAUUUGAGAUAUUAUAUAUAGAAAAUAGAAUUAAAUUAGAAAUUUUGAAAAGAAGAUGAUUGAAAAAUUUGAGCUUGUGACAAUACCAGAAAUAAAAAAACAUGUUUCAUCAAUUAUGAAGCAUUAUGGAAAUUCAUGGGAGACUUUUUCACAUACAUCAAAAGACAAAUAUUUCUUGGAGGACACCAAUUGUGUUACUAAGAAAUUAUUUCUAAAAUAGAUUGAGUGGCCUAGCAAGGAUUUACAAGUGAUGCAGCUAUUAAGAGAAUUUGAGAGGCAGUAUUUUUAAUUAUCAAAGAUGGAAAAAUUGACACUAGAGCAAAAUAAGGUUGAAUUAUUUCUUCUAGCUGCUGAUGGAGAAUUAUAAGAAAAAUUAGAGAUGCUUCUUGAAGACAAAGAAGAAGAUAAAGGAUUGACAAUAAAGUGGAAAAAUAUUGAAGAUGCAAUAAGAUUGCUUGCAAAUUGAAAAAAGAAGAAGGAUAGGAUUAAUAUUCUAAGAGUAGUACAAGCACCUAAAAUUCAAGUAUAUACAACACGACCAAUAAUUCCUACUAUUCAACCUCCAAUAUCUUUAUCAAAUAAAGAAGAUAUGGCAAUUAAAGAAAUUAUAAUUGGGAUGCAAGAUCUUCAAAUCAAAUUAGUAAGAUUUAAAGAAAAGACUUCAACAAAUAAUUUAAAGAAUGUUUCUAAACAAGGAUAUAUAUAAAUGUGCAUUUGGUGUAAUGUUGCUUUUCAUAUUAGGAAGGAUUGCAAUGAAUUUAAUGAUAUGGUGUAGUAAAAAAUUAUUUAUUAGGAAGAUAGAAAGAUAGUAUUAAAAGAUACAAAAGAUAUCUUUCAAAUCAAUUUUAGCAAGGGAAGUAUAAAAGUAUUGAUUCAAGACUAUUUAGUAAAACAUAGAGUAACAACAUGAGAUAAUACAAGUUAUGGUACUAGGAUAGAUGAUAACUUUGAUGGAAGUAUGGAAAUAAGUGGAUUUUGGACUUAUGCCAUUUUUAUGAUGCAAAAAGAAAAAAUGCCUCAAAAAGUGUUGUUGAAAAUUGUAGCUAGAAAACAAGGUGCAAUAGGUUGAAAAGAUUCUAUAGAAUUUCUUUCAGUUCAUGCAUAUAUUGCUAAGAGUCAACAUAAAGCUUUAAUGGAAGAAAAGAAAUGAGGAAAUUUUGAUGAUAGAAGAGAAGGAAAUUCUUCUAAGAGACAAACUUGAGGAGACAAGGCUUGUUAAGUAGCUUCAGAAUAAUUGCCUAUAAAAGAUACUUCAAAAAUAUCAGAAGAAAAAACAAAGUAAAUAAAAAAUAAAAAUAAAUCAAUAGCUUAUAAGCUACUUUCUGAUAUUGAAGCAAUAACAGAUUUAAAAGGAGUGUUAAAAGAGCAUUUAUUAAAUGCCAACGUAGAAUUCACAUUGAAAGAGAUUUUAGAAAUUACAAAGAAGAAAUUUUAUGAUGUUAUUAUUGAUAAUAUUAAAAAGAAGAGACAAUUAAUGAACAAUGUUGGGAUAAGUUAUACUAUUAAUAAAAGAUUAUGUAAGAAUAAAGAAGAAAGUGAUAAAAAUUACAAGCAAUGAAUAUAUGAAAAGAAUGGUUAUAAUCAAUGAAUGCAUUUUAAGGAGUAUAGUGAUAAAAAAAUAGAAGCUUUAAGCCAUUAUACUUGAAAGCAUUAAGCAAGGAUAACUACAAAAGUAUUGAUGAAGGUAGGUAAUAUAGAAGAAUUGAUUGUUGCUUUAGUUGACUAUGGUUCCGAAAGAAAUCUUAUAUUUAGAGAUCUUUAUAAGAAGAAAAUAUGACUAAUUAAUAUGGAAUAUGGAUGGAUAAUACAAAUAGCUAAUAAUACAUGAGGCAAAUUAUAUGGCGCUUGCCCACAUGUUAAAAUCUGGAUUGGAGAUAUUGCAACAUAAUAACAUUUCUUUCUUUAAGAUACAUCAUAUCCAUUGAUUUUAGGAAAAUCUUAUAUUACAUCAACAUAGAUGGAAACUAAAGUUUUUGGUAAUGGUUCAGCUUAUACAUGAAUACGGAGUGAAGAUAGAAGAAAAGUGGUAUAAUUUCUAAUUGUGCCUCCUAAUCAUGAAUAAAAUCGAGAUAGGUUGAAGGAGAAGCCAUUAUCAAGAGUUAUUGAAGAAUUUAAGGAUUUUGAAAAACUACCCCUAUAAAGUGGAAUUAUAGAAGUACAAAAGAGGAGGUACUGUUGCAAGAUGUAGAUACCUUUGAUACAAGUUUUAUUGACAUUUUUGAAAAUGGAAGUACUGUAUAAAAAAUUUGAGGAUUUAAAAUAAAAUAAAAAAAGAAUACAUAAUACGGAAAAGAAAUUAUAUAGAUUAGGAACUUUAAAAGAUAAUGAAAGGAUUUUAGGGAUUUAUGAAGAAAAUGGAUUGGAGGAUCUUUUGGAGUUAAUUACAUCUAUUGGAUUAUGAGAUGAUGAUAAGGUUGUAGAAAUAUAUUCAAAAGAAGUUUAUACUAUUUUUAAAUCUUUUCAAGUACCAAAAAUUAUUGUAGAGUCAAAAUAUAAAACAAUAGAUAAGAAGGUAAAAUCUGUUGCUAGACCUUUAUCAGAAGAUUAUAUAGAACAAAUGAAAGAAGCAUCAAAGGAAAAAAGUUUAAGAGAUCUAAAGAAUAUUGGACAUUAAUUUAUAAAAGAAAUUUUUUGAAGAAUUGAAGAUUGGAUGUGAUAGUUCUUUAUUACCAAUAGAAAUUGAAUAUUUUAAAGAGAUGCUUAAAAAAAGAGAUAAAUAAUUUGCUUUUGGACCUCAUGAAAUAGGAUGUGUAGAUCCUAAUAUUGUUGCUCCUAUGGUUAUCUUCAUAAUAUCGCAUGUGUCUUAGAAUUUAAGGCUAAUUCUUAUGCCAAAGAUAUAUUUACCUAAAUUAGUGGAAUUAUUAAAAAAAAAUAAAAAUGAAGAUUUUGGAACCUUUUUUUGCUCUAUAUUCUAGUCAUUGGUUUACAAUACCUAAGAAAAAUGGAUUAUUAUGCUUUAUUUAAGAUAUGCAGCCAAUAAAUGUAGUAACUAUUAAAAAUGCAAGUAUAGGACCUUUAAUAGAUGAGUUUGCAAAAGCAUUUGCAUGAAGGGAAAUUUAUUCAAUGGCUAAUUUAUAUUCGGAUUAUGAUCAAUUUCAACUUGCACAUAGAAGUAGAGAUUUAACAACAAUGAGAAUGCCACUUGAACUACUUAAAAUGUAUACUCUUCCAUAAAGUGUUACUAAUUCAGUUGCACAUAUGAUAAAUGGUAUGAACAAGGUAUUGAGGGACUUUAUUCUUGAAAAAACUAUGCAUUUUUUAGACAAUGUUCCUAUCAAAGAAUGUAAAGAAGAAGAAAAAGAUGAGACCUUAAAUGAAAAGAGAUAUUGUAAGUAUGUUGUUGAUCAUAUACAAGAUUGUAAGAAGAUUUUAAUUCGACUUGAAGAAGUUCAUCUUAUACUUUUGGAAACAAAAUCUAUAUUUGAAAUAUAAAAAAUUAUCAUUAUUGGAUACUUAUGUAGAUUUUAUGGAAAAAACUAAAUCCAAGUAAAUUUGAUAUAAUUGGAAUGAUGAAGGAUAUAUGUGAUUUUUUAACAGAAGUAUACAUGUUUUUAGGAGCUUGUGUAUUUUAUGAUAUUUGGAUUCUUCAUUAUGCUUAUAUAGCAGAUCCAAUGUAUGAAUUAUUAUGUAAAGGUUGUCAAUUUAAAUAGGAAAGAAAACUUAUUGAAGCAAUGUGAAAACUAAAGGUGUUAUUAUUGUCACCUCCAAUAUUAAGAAGAAUUGAUUAUGAGUGUAAUAGAUAAGUAAUACUUACUAUGGAUACAAGUUGGAUUGCUAUUAGAUAGGUUGUGGAUCAAGAUGAUUCAAGUAGAAACAGAUUUGUAGUUUGAUUUAGAGCUAAAGUUUUAAGUACUUAUCAACGUGCAUAUUUGCAAGUUAAAAGAGAACUAUAGAAAGUUCUUUUGGCUAUGAAAGCUGAAAAGGAUUAUUUGAUUGACACUGUGGUAGUAAUUGAAAUAGAUUUUUUGCCACUAUUUAAAAUGAUUACUAAUUAUUCAACACCAGGUAUUGUAAUGCUAAGAUGGAUUGUUUUUAUUAAGUCAUUAAAUCCAAAAUUUAAGCAUGUUGUUGAAAAAGAUAAUUUGGUGGCAGACAUAUUAUUUUGAGGAAGAUGUGAAAGAAAAGACGAGAUGAUUGAAGACAUUAAUGAUGUUGGAACAAAACUCUAUUCAAUAUCAAAUCUUAAUAAAGAAGACAUGAUAUUUUUUUGAAGAGCUUUAUAAAAGAGAAUUAUUAGAAAUUGGUCUUUAUUUGACUACCUUGACUAAACAAGAAAAUUAGUCAAUAGAAAAAUUUAAUCAAAUAAGAAAAAAAGCUUAUGGAUUUUUGCUUCAAAAUGGUUCUUAUAGAAGAGACUAAAGAAAGAAAUUGAAAUGCCACAAUGAGUUAUAGAAAAUAAAGAAGAGAAACAAAAAUUAUUGAAAGGCUUUUAUCAUAGUUUAUAGGCAAGACAUAGGAAAAUUUGGACUACUUUUGCUAAACUUAAAGAACAAUAUUAGUGGAAAAAUAUGUAUCAAGAUGUACUUUUAUUUGUAGAAACCUAUAAAAUUUGUCAAACAUAUUCUAAUAUACAACAUCGACAUGGUCUACAUUCUACAUAUCCUUUGGCUAUUCUUUUUAAAUGGGUUGUUGAUUUGGUUAUUAUGCCAAUUGGAUUAUGGCAAAUGAGAUUUUUGGUCUUGGCUCGUGAAGAUUUAUUGAAGCAAAUAAAAGGCAAGGCACUAAGAACAAAGCCUAUAGAGGGAAUUUGUAGGUUUUUAUUUGAAGAUGUUAUUUGUUGCUAUGGAUAUGUAAGAAAGAUUAUUAUAGAUUGUGGAGAAUUGGAUGUACAUGAAGCUCAUGAAUUUUUUAAGAGAUGUUGGAUUAAAUUAUCAUUGACUAAUACUUAUAAUCUAAUGUUAGAGACAUAGUCUUUAGAACCUUCUAGAGACAAGUUUCUAGAACCUUCUAGAAGCAAGUCUCUGGAACCUUCUAGAAACAAGUCUCUGGGACCUUCUAGAAGCAAGUCUCUGGAACCUUCUAGAAGCUUCUUAGUUGGUAGAAGAUGUUAGGGACAUAGUCCUUAGAACCUUCUUAAUACAAGUUUCUAGAACCUUCUAGAAGCUUCAUAGUUGAUAGAAGUUGCUUGAGAAGCUUCCUAAAUAGGAGUAUAUAUUGGAAUCGAGGCUGAAGAGUUCUUCAGUCUCGACAACACAUCUAUUGGAGCUCUAGCUCACCUCUCUAGUGUUGUUCUCAUCUGAUUAAUCUAAUUCUUGUCAGUUCUUCUUGAACUUCUUGUUAGAUCUCGAGUUUGUAUUUCUGUGUCCAUGAUAGUUUGUCGAGACUUCACUCACCUCAGAUAUCAGAGCUAGUUUCUUCUUUGUUAGAUUGUGAAUUACCCCUCUGCUUGAAAGUGUACUAGCAUUUUAGAGGUUGCAGAUUACCCUCUUCUAAACUGAUACUUCUUUUGUUACAAUAUUGGAGUCUUAUUCUUCUUGGAGAGAGUGGAUUACCCCUUUUCUUGAAGCUCUUAAGGCAUUUUAGAGGUUGUGGAGUACCCUCCUCUAAACCAAUAUUGUCUUCUUGUAGAGUCAUUUCUAUCCUUCUCUUAGAAUAGUUGGGGGCCAAGACAUUAGUAUGACAGAAAGUUUGGAGUCCAAGUUGGAUGCUAUCAUGAAUGUCCUCGCUACGUUAUCGCAACGAAGUGCAAAGAUUGAAGGAGUCAUGCCAAGGCUUCAUAAUGAUGGAGCAUCUGGAAUGGCACAAUCUAGGUUGCACCAGCCUCAAACUUUUGCACUUGGAGAAGCAACUUUGCCUCAGGUUCGACAAGCACCACUAGUUCUACAACAUAAGGAGUCCCGAGUUAGCCUUCCGGACAAGUUCGAUGGUACGCAUUCCAAGUUUCAAGGAUUUAUCAACCAAAUCAGGUUGAUAACAAUUUUACAACCCAAACGCUAUCCAACGGAGGAGUCACGUGUUGGGCUUAUUGGAACCUUACUUGCAGGACAAGCUCUAUUAUGGUUUGCUUCUUUGUUUGAGAAACGAUCAUCCAUACUAAACAACUUUGAAACCUUUUUGGAGGCGUUUGCGGAAGCAUUUGGUGAACACAACAAGGUUCGAUGGGCUAUAACAAAGAUCCGGUCACUACGACAAGGGAUGCGCUCUACAUCAGCCUAUGCAUCGAACUUCAGGCAAUUAGCAUGCGACAUCAAUUGAGAUGAAGAAGCAUUAAUGAGUCAAUUCUAUUGGGGUUUAAGAGAUGAUGUGAAGGAUUUGCUGUUAACUCUUCCUGAUCCACAAAUGCUCAACGAAGCUAUUAGUCAAGCUGUGAAGUGUGAUAACCGCCUAUUCCAACGCCACCAAGACCAACGUUCAAGACAACAUACGGUUCGCUACGUCCCAACUAUGUUGACAAGUAGCGUGAAUUCACAUUCAGAGGUAGAAGACAUGCAAAUUGAUGCGGUACGUGUCAAAUCCUUUACUCUAGAAAAAAAAAAAAAACAGCGUAUGGAGGAAGGACAAUGCUUGUAUUGUAGUGAAGAAGGCCACAAAGUUGGAAAUUGCUCCAAGAAGCAAAAUCAACGUAUUGUCAAGACUAGAGGCACGUUUAUUCAGGAAAACAAGGAUGCCCAGCCACAAUAGGAACUGUGCGGCUGGACAGUGAAACAUCGCAACAACAAUUAGGUUCCUUUCUUUUUGCUCAAUCUGUCCUUUGUUUUACAAUCCCUUUGCUUAUUGGCCCUUCGAAACUGAGAACCUUAGCAUUAUUAGAUUCAAGAGCAUCUGCUUGUUUCUUAGACGAAGAAUUUGCGAAGCAUCAUAAGAUCCCUUUAGUACAAAAAUCCAAACCUGUUCACGUUGAGGUCAUAGAUGGGCGACCUUUAUUGUCUGGUAGUGUCAUCUAUGAAUCAGAACCUAUAAAAGUGACGUUUAAGGGCCAUAGUAGUCAUAUUAUUUUUAAUAUUAUUAGAACCCCAUCAAAUCCUGUUAUUCUUGGUCUUUCCUGGUUGAAAAAGCAUAACCCAUCCAUAGAUUGGAAGUUGCGGAAGAUGACCUUUCCCACAAAACCACCCAAGAGCAAGCCUAGUAGAAAAUCCCGAAUAGAGAAAUCCUUAUUUAUUGGAGCAAGAGCGUUUAUAAGAUCGUCCAAGGAAGGCUUACCGUUUUUCAUUUAUGCGGCUCCAACUACCGGGGUGAAGAUCUCGACAACAAAUAUACCGGAGCAAUAUAAGGAUUUUAAAGACGUGUUUCAAAAGAAAAAUGUCGACAUGCUACCGAAACACAGACUAUAUGAUUGCGCCAUAGACUUACAAGAAGGAGCACAACCACCUUUUGGCCCAAUCUACAAUCUAUCGCAAAUAAAAUUGGCCGAGUUACGGAAGUACAUCGACAAGAAUCUAACCAAGAACUUCAUCCGUCAUUCAAAAUUGUCAGCUAGAGCACCCAUCUUAUUUGUGAAGAAGAAAGAUGGCUCAUUGCGGAUGUGCGUGGACUAUCGAGGCCUCAACAAGGUAACAAAGAAGAAUCGUUACCCAUUAUCCUUGAUUUCUGGUUUCUUAGAACAACUUGGAGGUACAAGGAUUUUUACAAAAAUUGAUCUAAGGGGAGCUUACAACCUCGUACGAAUCAAGGAAGGAGAUGAGUGGGAGACAGCGUUUCGUACAAGGUAUGGCCAUUUUGAGUAUAAUGUCAUGCCCUUUGGUCUUACCAAUGCUCGAGCGGUCUUUCAACAUAUGAUGAAUGAUAUUUUUCGAGAAUACCUUGACGAUUUUGUUGUCAUCUAUUUAGAUGAUAUUUUGAUAUUCUCCAAAAAUGAGGAAGAACAUGAAAAGUACGUUCGUUUGGUCUUGGAGAAACUAUGCGAGUGAGGACUAUAUGCCAAGUUAGAGAAGUGUUUAUUUCACUAAAUAGAGAUGGAGUUUCUAGGAUUCGUUGCGACUACGGAAGGCUUGAAGAUGGACCCCAAGAAGGUGGAAGCAAUUGUAUCCUGGGAGGUUCCAAAGACGGUGAGAGACGUACAAUGCUUUCUUGGCUUUGCCAACUUCUAUCAGAUCUUCAUCAAGAAUUACUCUCAAGUUGUUGCUCCUCUCACUCGGUUGACAUGCAAGGAUAAGUUGGAAUGGGGACCUCUAGCGGAGAAGGCGUUUUAAGACCUAAAAAUCGCAUUUACUACGGUUCCAAUCUUGGUAUAUCCAGACUUUACAAAGGCCUUUUAUUUAGAAACUGAUGCCUCGGAUUUUGCUUUGGGAGCUGUACUUUCACAAAUGGGAGAAGACAAGAAGCUCCAUCCGGUUGCAUUCUAUUCUCGAAAGUUCUCUGUUGCUGAAAUCAAUUAUGAGAUCCAUGAUAAGGAACUUCUUACUAUAGUGGAUUCUUUCCAAGAAUGGCAUCAUUUUCUUGAAGGAACUGUACACCCAGUGACUGUAUACUUAGAUCACAAGAAUUUGGAGUAUUUCAUGUCGGCUCGAGUUCUAAAUCGACGUCAAGCUCGGUGGAGUAUGUUGCUAUCUAGGUUCGAUUUUGUUAUCACUUAUCGACUUCGAAAGCAGCAAAGACUAUCUGAUGCCUUAUCGAGGAGAUCGUAUCUUGUACCAAAGGCUAAAGAAGCAGCGUUUGAUCAACAAUGUACGACAUUGUUGAAGCUAAAGCAAUUUCGACUUUGCACUAUUAUUGUGCCAAUUGAUGCUGACUUCUUGAAUCAGGUACUUGCUACGACCAUUAAAGAUUUAGUAGCCAUUGAUAUCAAGCAGCGUGCCAAUGAUGACAAAUUCAAGGUGGAGGGAGAUCUUUUAUACUUUGAGGAGCGGUUGUAUAUCCCAAAAAGACUAGCACGACUCCGAGUUCUUCAAUCUCGCCACGAUUUUCCAGUUGCAGGAUAUUUUGAAUUCAACAAGACUUUGGAGCUUAUUUCUUGAGAUUUUUGGUGGCCCCAAAUGUGGAAGGAUGUGAAGAUUUUGUCCUCUCCUGCGACAUCUGUUCAAGAUUCAAGAAUCCUCGGCAUCGCCCUUAUGGACUCCUACGGCCAUUGCUGAUUCCACGUUGACCAUGGUCUUCAGUUUCCAUGGACUUCAUCAUGGACCUUCCAUCAUCGAACUCAUUUGACAGCAUCUUUGUCGUGGUAGAUCGGCUUACAAAGAUGGCACACUUUGUUCCUUGUAAGAAGACAUCGUCCAAUGAAGUCACAGCAAGGCUCUUUCUUGAUAAUGUGUAUUGAUAUCAUGGACUACCAAAUGAUAUCGUAUCAGAUCGAGGAAUCCAGUUCGUAUCAAAGUUUUGGAGAUCUCUCUUUGAAAUACUGAAGGUAGAUAUCAAGCUUUCUUCGGCUUUUCAUCCUCAAACUGACGGCCAAACGGAACGGGUGAACCAAGUCUUGGAACAAUACUUACGAUGCAGCAUCAAUUAUCAGCAAGACAAUUGGACCACAUAUCUGCUGCUAGCCGAGUUUGCAUAUAACAACAUCCUCCAUGCGUCGACUCAAUACACACCAUUCUUUUCCAACUAUAGGUAUCAUCCGAAGCUUGAUUUAUUGAGUCCGUCAACAAAUAACAAUCCAGCAGCUGAAAGAUUUGCGAAACAACUAUCAGAGCUUCAAAAUACGUUAAAGCUUCAAUUACAAUCCGCUCAGGAAUCCUACAAGGCGUCUGUACAUAGAUUUCGGAAUCAAGCACAUACUUUCAAAAUUGGAGAUAAAGCAUGGCUUCUUCGACGGAAUAUCAAGACCAAGUGACCAUGUGAUAAGUUGGACUAUCGAAGAUUGGGACCAUUUAUCAUCCAGAAGCAAAUCAAUCCAGUGGCGUACCGUCUGGAAUUAUCGGCUUCUAUGAAGGUACAUCUAAUCUUUCAUGUUUCUCUGUUUGAACCUUAUGGAGAGUCAUCUUUUCCUGGAAGAGUACAAUGUCCACCACCUAGUAUUGAGAUCGAGACCCAUGAAGAAUACGAAGUUGAAAAGGUACUGGAUUCACAGCGAAGGUGGGGCAAGUUGGAGUAUCUUGUUCAUUGGUACGGCUACGACAUUAAUGAGCGAACAUGGGAGCCAGUUGAAAAUCUCGCCAAUGCACCGCAAAAGGCACAAGAGUUUCAUCAACAACAUCCUCAUAAAUCUAAGCCGGUUCGACGAUAGCUUCCUUCUGAAGCUUGCUCAUCCAAGAAUGUAAGAAAAGGGGAGAGCACCACCAAAAUUCGUAGUUGAUGUAGUUAUUUUCUCCAAGAUAAAAUAGAAUUUUUUCAAUAGCCAUAGUCUGGUCUUCUGAUAUGGAUAACCAAAAGAUAGAUACUAUGCCUUAGAAUCUUCUUGAGACAAGUUUUUAGAACCUUCUAGAAGCUUCCUAGUUGGUAGAAGUUGCUUGAGAAGCUUCCUAAAUAAGAGUAUAUAUUGGAAUCGAGGCUAAAGAGUUCUUUAGUCUCGACAACACAUCUCUUGGAGCUCUAGCUCACCUCUCUGGUGUUGUUUUCAUUUGAUUAAUCUAGUUCUUGCCAGUUCUUCUUGAACUUCUUGUUAGAUCUUGAGUCUGUAUUUUUGUGUCCGUGACAUCCAAAGGGGAAUGCAAAGUGUGAACAUAGACAUCUACCAAUUGUAAAAGCCUUAGUUGAAGCUUGUAAUAGAAGAGUAAGAGAAUGACAUCAAAUUCUACCAUAUACAUUAUGGGUUGAUUGAACAAUACAUAGUUUAGUGACAUGAUAUAUGCUAGUGGAACUUAUGAUAGGUCAAAAAUCAAUUAUGCCAAUUGAAGAACAUAUGCCAAUUUAGAGUAGCUACCAUGGAAAAAUAAGUUGACAAGGGAGGAAUUGUUAGCUAUUAGAAUUUGACAACUUAAAUAAAGAUUGGAGGAUGUAGAACUAGCAUUAGAAAGGUUACAAAAGGUAAGGUUAGGGUAUAAGAUUUGAUUUGAUAAGCAACAUUGAUUAAGGUCUAGAGCAAUUGAAGAAGGUGAUUGGAUACUUGUUUAUGACAACAGUCUGGAUAACCAAUAUAGUGCUUUGUAGAAGUUUUUAAAAUGUUGAUUUGGACCAUAUGUGGUAACAAUUGUUCAUGAUAAUGCAACUUAUUCAUUACAAGAGCUAGAUGGAAUAAUGUUAAAAAUAUCAAUUGUAGGAAAGCAAGUAAAGAUAUUUAAAUGAAGAGAGACAAGAAUAAAUAUAGAAGACCUUAUUGACAAUAUAAAUCUUCUAAGAUAAGAAGAUAAAUUUAAUUUAAAUAGCAAAUAUGAUAAAGAUGACUUAGAUGAAGAUAUAGAUAACAUAAUAUGAAUCAAAUAAUGUUAGAUUAUUUGGCGCAUAUCAGAGGAUGCAUAUGUUUAGAGGAGGUGGAUAUUGUAUUGUAAUAUGACUAUAUGGUGAAAGAUAAUAAUAUGGAUCUUAUUAUAGAAGAGCCAAGUUAAAAGAUAAAAUAAAAAAAUAUAGAUAAAAAAUAGGAAGGUAAUAAAACUUUUAGUAGUAAUAUUAUUUUUUUUAAAAAGUAACUUCUAUCUACUUUGUAAGGCCAUAAAUGAUAGAAAACAAGGUAGAUUAGAAAAAUAAAAACUAUAGAAAUAUGUAGGAGAGAGUUAAGAGUUGGUUUUAGUAGAAUUUACCUCAAAUGAGAUAAAAAUUGAUAUUCAAAGAAGAUUGAUUACCAACUAGGGUCGAAAUCAAACCUCAAGGCACAAUACUAAGCCUUGAUGAUAAUUCUGGGAUUCUUUGAUUGAUUACAGAAUGGAAUUUGAGAGAAGACUUGAUAAGGUUUCUAUAGACAUUAGUUUUGAAGGUCUUAGAUAGAUAAUGACUUUGUAAGAGUUUUUCAAAGUCAAUGUUGUUUUCAAUGAUUUUGAUUUUUUGAAAAUAAAAUAAGGUUGACGUUUUGUGUAAUUUCAAGAGUUUGGUGAUAGAACUACAAGUGAAAUUUCUUGGAUUUGUGGAUGUAGUUGUAUUUGAUGUGUUGUGAAUUUGAAUUUGAUCAAAUAGUUAGAUUGAAAAGUAUGAAGGUUUUUGUAGAUUAUAGUCUCAAAAUUCAAGGUUUUAAGGACCAAUGAGAUUUUCUUAGAUAUUUUUCAAUCCACCAAUGAGAUUGAAGCAAAUACUUUUCAAAGAGGUAGUUAGCUUGAUUUCAAACAAGUAUAUAAAGUUCAAAAGUAAAAUAGAGGUUCAAUUAAGAGUAAUUGGCUUUCAGAGAUUGGCAUCAAGGUCGGAGGAAGAGGCCGACCAAUACCCGAGCACAUUUUUAAGGUUAUCAUCUAUUUGAUAAUUUUGAUCUUUUUUAAUUUUAUUUUUAUUUAUUAUCAAAAAAUAUACAAAAUUGAGUUAAAAUCAAUGAUUCAUUCAUUAGUUAUUGAGGUUUAAAUCUCUUAUCGGAAUUACUUGGGAUUGAUUAGGGUUUUAUUUAGAAUUUGGUUUAAAAUUAGGAUUAAGGUUAGGAUUUUGGGUUGAUGUAAGAUUUGAUUAGGAUUAGGAUUUAUUUAGGAUUUGACUAGGAUUUGACUAAGAUUUGACUAAAAAUUAUUUAGGAUUUGAUUAGGAUUUGAUUAAGAUUUGACUAAGAUUUGAUUAGGACUUAUUUAGGAUUUGAUUAGAAUUUGGUUAGGAUUAGGAUUUGGUUUGGUUUUUAGGUUUUGAUUUGAUUUAGGAUUUGGUUUGGAUUUCUUUAGGAUUUCUUUUGGAUUUCUUUAGAGUUUUUUUAGAUUUUUUUAGGAUUUCUUUAUAUUUCUUUUAUAAUUAUUUCAAAAAAAA